GCGCUGGUGGUGUAGGGGUUAGCGCGCGACCGCAUAUAGAGGCUACAGUCCUCGAAGCAGCCGUCUUGGGUUCGAGUCCCGGGCCCGGUGACCU